CGAACGCUGGCGGCAUGCCUACCACAUGCACGUCGAACGAGACCUUCGGGUCUAGUGGCGCCCGGGUGCGUAACGCGUGGGAACCUGCCCUUAGGUUCGGAAUAACUCCCCGAAAGGGGUGCUAAUACCGGAUAAUGUCUUCGGACCAAAGAUUUAUCGCCUUUGGAUGGGCCCGCGUUGGAUUAGCUAGUUGGUAGGGUAAAAGCCUACCAAGGCGACGAUCCAUAGCUGGUCUGAGAGGAUGAUCAGCCACACUGGGACUGAGACACGGCCCAGACUCCUACGGGAGGCAGCAGUGGGGAAUAUUGGACAAUGGGCGAAAGCCUGAUCCAGCAAUGCCGCGUGAGUGAUGAAGGCCUUAGGGUUGUAAAGCUCUUUUACCCGGGAUGAUAAUGACAGUACCGGGAGAAUAAGCUCCGGCUAACUCCGUG
rnacentral:rRNA from 1 species